UGUGGUCACCGGAUCCGGUGGCCAUGAGCUCAAGGCUACUAGAUUUGGUGAGCCAGAGUUCAUGGCACCGUAUCUGGUGCAUUGA
rnacentral:pre_miRNA from 1 species